AAAAUAUCCAAAGAUCACGUGGGUCCCACUUUCUCCCCUUGGGCAAAUCAGAGAGAGAAGCGAAGAUGCAAGGAAAGAAACAACUUCUUCAAUGUCGGUGGUGUUCACAGUUCACCCAAAUACAAACCAACGAAUCAAAGAAAGAAGAUGACGACGAAGAUGAAUCCACGGUGGCGGAAAACUGACCCACCCAUCAUCCCACCGCCUCUCUUUUCCCCUGAGAUUUUUUUUUUUUUUCAAUCUACAGUUUAGUCGGUUACUUCCUUCUUCUCCCUAAACCUUUAUAAACCCUUACAAACACCUCUCUUCCUUUCUUAAUCCCUCAUUAUCAUACCCACACCCUUCCUUAAUUUCUCUUUCUCUCUCACUCAGUAAACCGUAAAAAUUUCGCUUCUUUUUAUCAACAAUGAGCCCAAAAAAAGAUGAUUUUUUUUCCAAACCAACUCCAAUUUCAGUACCACCAGGGUCUCUCCACUACGUCGACACUGACACCAUAUGUUCUCCUCCUACUCCUCCACUCCCUAUGCCACUAGACAUCUUGCAAGGGAAUCAAGUCCCUCCCUUUUUGUCCAAGACUUUUGAUUUGGUUGAUGACCCGACUCUUGACCCUGUCAUCUCUUGGGGACUCACCGGUGCCAGUUUCGUCGUUUGGGAUCCUCUCGAGUUCGCCAGGACCAUUCUCCCUAGGAAUUUCAAACAUAACAAUUUCUCCAGCUUCGUCAGACAGCUUAACACUUAUGGAUUUCGAAAGAUUGAUACUGACAAAUGGGAAUUCGCUAACGAGGCUUUCCUUAGAGGCAAGAAGCAUCUUCUCAAGAACAUUCAACGUCGUCGAUCAUCACCACAAUCCAACCAAACUUGCACUAGUAGUAGCUGCAGCCAAAGCCAAGGGUCACCUACUGAGGUUGGAGGAGAGAUAGAGAAACUUAGGAAAGAGCGGCGUGCAUUGAUGGAGGAAAUGGUUGAGCUUCAGCAGCAAAGCAGAGGUACAGCUCGCCACGUUGACUCUGUGAACCAGAGUCUGAAAGCUGCAGAGCAACGUCAGAAGCAGUUGCUCUCUUUCUUGGCUAAGUUGUUUCAGAACCCUGGUUUCUUGGAACGCCUCAAUAACCUCAAAGGAAGAGAAAAAGGAGCACUCGGAUUGGAAAAGGCGACAAGGAAGUUCAUCAAGCACAAACAGCAGCAGCCUCAGGAUUCUCCAACAGCAGGGGAGAUGGUGAAGUGUGAAGCUGAUGAUUGGGAGAGAUUGCUAAUGUAUGACGAAGAGACUGAGAACACUCUACUCUCUGACCAACAAGGGAUGACUUCAAGCAUAGGAGGAGCUGAUCCCAAAGGCAAGAACUUGAUGAAUCUAUCAGAAGAAGAGAUGACAGAACCAGAUUACUUAAUGACCUUCCCAUCUCCUGAAGGACUUGUCAAACAAGAAGAGACAACAUGGAGUAUAGGUUUUGAUACUACAAUACCAGCUUUCAGCAACACCGAUGUAUGGGGAAACACAGUGGACUAUAACGAUGUCUCAGAGUUUGGUUCUGUUGCAGAAACAACAAGUGGUGGUGGUGGUUUGCCUGAUGUCUACUGGGAACAAUUUGCUGCAGGAAUCACAGAGACUGGAUUCAACUGGCCAAGUGGUGAUGAUGAUAAUACGCCAAUGGAUGAUCCUUAAGAGCUUUUCAUAUAAUAUAGUUUAGACCAGACUAGAAACCCGUUUAUUAUCGGGUCUGAAGUGGAACGAUGUUUCUUUGAGGAUUCUUCUCUCUAAAGCUGUCUGGUUUGAAUCUCCACAAUCAUUCAUGUCCCAGGUACAAAUGCAAAAGCUCUUUCUCUCUAUGUGUCUUCUUCUUCUUCUUUUCUUUUUUAACUAAAAGAUUCAAAAGUGAAAACAAAGACUCAUAUAUAGUAAAGCUUAGAACAGACUAGUUGAAAAACAAACAAGCUUAGAAGCAGGCAAGCAGCAACAUGAUUGAUUAC